GACGAACGCUGGCGGCGUGCUUAACACAUGCAAGUCGAGCGGUAAGGCCCUUUCGGGGGUACACGAGCGGCGAACGGGUGAGUAACACGUGGGUGACCUGCCCUCAGCUCUGGGAUAAGCCCGGGAAACUGGGUCUAAUACCGGAUAUGACUUCAUGACGCAUGUUGUGGAGUGGAGAGCCUUGUGCGGCUGAGGAUGGGCCCGCGGCCUAUCAGCUUGUUGGGGGGGUG
rnacentral:rRNA from 1 species